AUUGAACGCUGGCGGCAGGCCUAACACAUGCAAGUCGAGCGAGCGGAGGACGGGUGUGCACUGUCUGGGAAACUGCCUGUUGGAGGGGGAUAACUACUGGAUACGGCCGCUAACCCCGCACACCACCUGAUGUGCCCAGAUGGGAUGAGCUAGUAGGUGGGGUAACGGCUCACCUAGGUGACGAUCCCUAGCUGGUCUGAGAGGAUGACCAGCCACACUGGAGCUGAGACACGGUCCAGACUCCUACGGAGGGCAGCAGGGGGGAAUAUUGCACAAUGGACGAAAGCCUGAUGCAGCCAUGCCGAGUGUGUGAAGAAGGCCUUCGGUUUGUAAAGCACUGUCGGCGGGGAGGCGUUGCCAGCAGAAGAAGCACCGGCUAACUCCGUGCCAGCAGGCGCGGUAAUAC
rnacentral:rRNA from 1 species